UACGUAGGGUGCGAGCGUUGUCCGGAAUUACUGGGCGUAAAGCGCACGUAGGCGGAUUGUUAAGUCAGGGGUGAAAUCCUGGAGCUCAACUCCAGAACUGCCUUUGAUACUGGCGAUCUCGAGUCCGGGAGAGGUGAGUGGAACUGCGAGUGUAGAGGUGAAAUUCGUAGAUAUUCGCAAGAACACCAGUGGCGAAGGCGGCUCACUGGCCCGGUACUGACGCUGAGGUGCGAAAGCGUGGGGAGCAAACAGGG
rnacentral:rRNA from 1 species